rnacentral:rRNA from 1 species
AUUGAACGCUGGCGGCAUGCCUUACACAUGCAAGUCGAACGGCAGCACGGGUGCUUGCACCUGGUGGCGAGUGGCGAACGGGUGAGUAAUACAUCGGAACAUGUCCUGUAGUGGGGGAUAGCCCGGCGAAAGCCGGAUUAAUACCGCAUACGAUCUACGGAUGAAAGCGGGGGACCUUCGGGCCUCGCGCUAUAGGGUUGGCCGAUGGCUGAUUAGCUAGUUGGUGGGGUAAAGGCCUACCAAGGCGACGAUCAGUAGCUGGUCUGAGAGGACGACCAGCCACACUGGGACUGAGACACGGCCCAGACUCCUACGGGAGGCAGCAGUGGGGAAUUUUGGACAAUGGGCGAAAGCCUGAUCCAGCAAUGCCGCGUGUGUGAAGAAGGCCUUCGGGUUGUAAAGCACUUUUGACCGGAAAGAAAUCCUUGGCCCUAAUACGGUCGGGGGAUGACGGUACCGGAAGAAUAAGCACCGGCUAACUACGUG